rnacentral:piRNA from 1 species
GUGCUCAGUAGACCUGUGUGAGAUGGACAGC